rfam:Triticum aestivum genome assembly, contig: Triticum_aestivum_CS42_TGACv1_scaffold_120964_2AS
UGUGUACUCCCUCCGUUCCAAAAUACUUGACUUCCAUUUGUCCAAAAAUGGAUGUACCUAUAUACUAAGACAUGUCUAGAUACAUAUAUAUUUUGACAAAUAGAACGCAUGUAUUGUGCAACGGAGGGAGUAGAAU